CAAUAGCGUAUAUUAAAGUUGUUGCGGUUAAAAAGUUCGUAGUUGGAUUUCUGCCAAGGACGACCGGUCCGCCCUCUGGGUGAGUAUCUGGCUUGGCCUCGGCAUCUUCUUGGAGAACGUUGCUGCACUUCGCUGUGUGGCGCGGUAUCCAGGACCUUUACUUUGAGGAAAUUAGAGUGUUUCAAGCAGGCAUCCGCCUUGAAUACAUUAGCAUGGAAUAAUAAGAUAGGACCUCGGUUCUAUUUUGUUGGUUUCUAGAGCUGGGGUAAUGAUUAAUAGGGAUAGUUGGGGGCAUUCGUAUUUAACUGUCAGAGGUGAAAUUCUUGGAUUUGUUAAAGACGGACUACUGCGAAANCANNNGCCAAGGAUGUUUUCAUNGA
rnacentral:rRNA from 1 species